ACGUGUCAGUGGGAUUCGCGAAUAAUGGAUAAUAAGAAACGGGACGGUCCCGUUUCUGCGUACGUCCUACCUAUUAAUUUUUUUUUUGAUUUUUUUUUUUACUAUAAAUUCGGUGGGACUUUAUGCUGGGUACUCUAAUGCACUUACUUUUAGUUGAAGCCAAAGAAGAAGUAACAAUGCGUUACCAAAAACAGAAAGCAAAGACAUGUUUGACGUUUAGGAAAGUCUGAAUAAUCAUAUUAGUUUAAUUUUAUUAAAUCAAUUAACAAAAACAAAAUUGGAUUUGAACUAGACCUACUGAAUUGGAUACUGC
rnacentral:lncRNA from 1 species